AGAGCGAACGCUGGCGGCAGGCCUAAUACAUGCAAGUCGAACGAGCCCUUCGGGGUUAGUGGCGGACGGGUGAGUAACACGUGGGAACGUGCCUUUUGGUUCGGAACAACUCAGGGAAACUUGAGCUAAUACCGAAUGUGCCCUUCGGGGGAAAGAUUUAUCGCCAUUAGAGCGGCCCGCGUCUGAUUAGCUAGUUGGUGGGGUAAAGGCCCACCAAGGCGACGAUCAGUAGCUGGUCUGAGAGGAUGAUCAGCCACACUGGGGCUGAGACACGGCCCAGACUCCUACGGGAGGCAGCAGUAGGGAAUCUUGCGCAAUGGGCGAAAGCCUGACGCAGCCAUGCCGCGUGAAUGAUGAAGGUCUUAGGAUUGUAAAAUUCUUUCAGCGGGGACGAUAAUGACGGUACCCGCGAGAAGAAGCCCCGGCUAACUUCGCGCCAGCAGCCGC
rnacentral:rRNA from 1 species